UGAAAAAUGAGUGAAAUUGCUUGAAAAUGCCUGGCAAUUGGGGUUCCCUGUUCAGGAAACGGCUGACAGUGAAUGAGUUUAGCACCUGCAGUUUGUGAAAAUGUGCUGCUUUGCACAUACGCUUAAUCUAGCAGCACAAAGUCUAUACUCCCUUAGUGCAGUGACUCAGUGGGUGGCCAAGCUCCGAACUACUGCUGUGUAGCUGAAUACAUGCUUAACUCAUUCCCUGCCAAUGACGUCCAAAGACGUCAAUGGCGUUUUUUAACGGGGAUGGGUGGGGGAGGGUCUUGUACAGUUUAUGUGUGAUCGUCAAGCCUCUGGAUAACUGCAAUGAGGAUUGGUACCCUGUAGAGGGCAACAAUGCCUUGAGGUGAAUGUCCCUUCCUCAGAUUGAAGAGGAGGAAGGAGGGGGCGAGCGGGCGGGGUGUAACAGACAAUGAGAAGAGACAAACAAAUGGCAGCAAAGACAGAAGACAAAAUGAAAAAAAUCUAAAGAGGAAGGAGGGGGCGAGCGGGCGGGGUGUAACAGACAAUGAGAAGAGACAAACAAAUGGCAGCAAAGACAGAAGACAAAAUGAAAAAAAUCUAAAAAUAAAACUAAAAAGCUUUCAGUUCUACAAAUUUAAUGCACCAAGGCAAGAAAAAUAUUCCUGCGACCGACAGGAAUGACGCCUUAGAUCAUACGGGGAAUAAAGGAUGACGCUCCGAGUUGAUCACUUUGUUCCAAAGCAAAAUGCCGGCCUAUACAUAUGGCGAGAUUCUCUCGGCCGCUUGCUGGCUGAUCGUCUGCCAACCAGGAUUUGAAUAAAUGGGAUCCGGAAUCGUCAGAUAGUGAACUUCCUUUUGGAUAGCCAGGCGAGCUUCAUCCCGAGCUUCCACCGACGAAGUCCAACGAAGACGAAGGAAUUCAACACGUGCGAGUCGAGCGUCUUUUAGGAUUGCGACGAAGAAAACAAAUGUUGUUUUUUUACCCUUGCAAAACACGUCAUCGAUAAAAGGUAUUCUCCAGUAAUCGUAUGUAUUUUUUAAAAUUGAAAGGUAAUGCAUCCAACAGACGUUCUACUCCCAUUCCAGUACGCAGUGCAGACAGAAAAAGGUUGUGCUUCGAGCAGAAGAAGUGACUGGUUUCAGGGAGAAUGACAACUACACAAGAUCCCAUUCAACAGAAGAAUAAAAUAAAAUGUGGAUAAAACUUUUAUCACUUAGAUUUACAUAGAUACAUAGAUUUUAUGCGCAAGGUAAUAAAAACCUGGACUAUUGAGCAAACAAUAGAGGAAAUUUGGAGGAAAAAAGUCUAAGUGUGGUAGGUCUAAUGUAAAUUCUGUACAGUUAUACUUGAAAAUAAAUUAUUUUUCUGUCAAAAGUACUUUCUCAGUGUUGUUUUAUGUUGAGAUGUUAGAGAUUUUCACUAAAGAAAAAAAAUAUUGGUGUCAAAGUCAUUGUUCUGCUUGAUGUGCCUGCUUUUACAAAAAGGCUGUUUUCUCAGU